rnacentral:rRNA from 1 species
AGUAGGGAGGAAGGUAGUGUAGUUAACACCUGCAUAUUUGUACGUUACCUACAGAAGAAGCACCGGCUAACUACCGUGCCAGCAGCCGCGGUAAUACGGAGGGUGCGAGCGUUAAUCGGAAUUACUGGGCGUAAAGCGCAUGCAGGCGGCCUGUUAAGUCAGAUGUGAAAGACCCGGGGCGUUAACCUCGGAAUUGCAUUUGAAACUGGCAGGCUAGAGUCUUGUAGAGGGGGGUAGGAAUUUCAGGUGUAGCGGUGAAAUGCGUAGAGAUCUGAAGGAAUACCAGUGGCGAAGGCGGCCCCCCUCGGACAAAGACUGACGCUCAGAUGCGAAAGCGUGGGGAGCAAACAGGAUUAGAUACCCUGGUAG